GAUGAACGCUAGCGGCAGGCUUAACACAUGCAAGUCGAGGGGUAUAGUAGCAAUACUAGAGACCGGCGCACGGGUGCGUAACGCGUAUGCAACCUACCUUUUACAGAGGGAUAGCCCCAGAGAAAUUUGGAUUAAUACCUCAUAGUAUAGCAGUUUCGCAUGAAACCACUAUUAAAGUCACAACGGUGAAAGAUGAGCAUGCGUCCAUUAGCUAGUUGGUAAGGUAACGGCUUACCAAGGCUACGAUGGGUAGGGGUCCUGAGAGGGAGAUCCCCCACACUGGGACUGAGACACGGCCCAGACUCCUACGGGAGGCAGCAGUGGGGAAUUUUGGACAAUGGGCGCAAGCCUGAUCCAGCAAUGCCGCGUGCAGGAUGAAGGCC
rnacentral:rRNA from 1 species